UACGAAGGGUGUUAGCGUUGUUCGGAAUCACUGGGCGUAAGGCGCGCGUAGGCGGUCGUGCAAGUCAGGGGUGAAAUGCCGGGGCUCAACCCCGGAAUGGCCUUUGAAACUGCACGGCUAGAGUGUCGGAGGGGAUGGCGGAAUUCCUAAUGUAGCGGUGAAAUGCGUAGAUAUUAGGAGGAACACCGGUGGCGAAGGCGGCCAUCUGGACGACCACUGACGCUGAGGCGCGAAAGCGUGGGAGCAAACAGG
rnacentral:rRNA from 1 species